rnacentral:rRNA from 2 species
ACUCAGGUGUUGUUGGGUAGGGGAGCGUUCUGUAAGCCUGCGAAGGUGGCCUGUGAGGGUUGCUGGAGGUAUCAGAAGUGCGAAUGCUGACAUAAGUAACGAUAAAGCGGGUGAAAAGCCCGCUCGCCGGAAGACCAAGGGUUCCUGUCCAACGUUAAUCGGGGCAGGGUGAGUCGACCCCUAAGGCGAGGCCGAAAGGCGUAGUCGAUGGGAAACGGGUUAAUAUUCCCGUACUUGGUGUUACUGCGAAGGGGGGACGGAGAAGGCUAUGUUGGCCGGGCGACGGUUGUCCCGGUUUAAGCGUGUAGGUGUGUGUUCCAGGUAAAUCCGGUUCACUUUAACACUGAGGCGUGAUGACGAGGCACUACGGUGCUGAAGCAACAAAUGCCCUGCUUCCAGGAAAAGCCUCUAAGCAUCAGGUAACAUCAAAUCGUACCCCAAACCGACACAGGUGGUCAGGUAGAGAAUACCAAGGCGCUUGAGAGAACUCGGGUGAAGGAACUAGGCAAAAUGGUGCCGUAACUUCGGGAGAAGGCACGCUGACACGUAGGUGAAGUGAUUUACUCAUGGAGCUGAAGUCAGUCGAAGAUACCAGCUGGCUGCAACUGUUUAUUAAAAACACAGCACUGUGCAAACACGAAAGUGGACGUAUACGGUGUGACGCCUGCCCGGUGCCGGAAGGUUAAUUGAUGGGGUCAGCGCAAGCGAAGCUCCUGAUCGAAGCCCCGGUAAACGGCGGCCGUAACUAUAACGGUCCUAAGGUAGCGAAAUUCCUUGUCGGGUAAGUUCCGACCUGCACGAAUGGCGUAAUGAUGGCCAGGCUGUCUCCACCCGAGACUCAGUGAAAUUGAACUCGCUGUGAAGAUGCAGUGUACCCGCGGCAAGACGGAAAGACCCCGUGAACCUUUACUAUAGCUUGACACUGAACAUUGAGCCUUGAUGUGUAGGAUAGGUGGGAGGCUUUGAAGUGUGGACGCCAGUCUGCAUGGAGCCGACCUUGAAAUACCACCCUUUAAUGUUUGAUGUUCUAACGUGGACCCGUGAUCCGGGUUGCGGACAGUGUCUGGUGGGUAGUUUGACUGGGGCGGUCUCCUCCUAAAGAGUAACGGAGGAGCACGAAGGUUGGCUAAUCCUGGUCGGACAUCAGGAGGUUAGUGCAAUGGCAUAAGCCAGCUUGACUGCGAGCGUGACGGCGCGAGCAGGUGCGAAAGCAGGUCAUAGUGAUCCGGUGGUUCUGAAUGGAAGGGCCAUCGCUCAACGGAUAAAAGGUACUCCGGGGAUAACAGGCUGAUACCGCCCAAGAGUUCAUAUCGACGGCGGUGUUUGGCACCUCGAUGUCGGCUCAUCACAUCCUGGGGCUGAAGUAGGUCCCAAGGGUAUGGCUGUUCGCCAUUUAAAGUGGUACGCGAGCUGGGUUUAGAACGUCGUGAGACAGUUCGGUCCCUAUCUGCCGUGGGCGCUGGAGAACUGAGGGGGGCUGCUCCUAGUACGAGAGGACCGGAGUGGACGCAUCACUGGUGUUCGGGUUGUCAUGCCAAUGGCACUGCCCGGUAGCUAAAUGCGGAAGAGAUAAGUGCUGAAAGCAUCUAAGCACGAAACUUGCCCCGAGAUGAGUUCUCCCUGAGACUUUAAGUCUCCUGAAGGAACGUUGAAGACGACGACGUUGAUAGGCCGGGUGUGUAAGCGCAGCGAUGCGUUGAGCUAACCGGUACUAAUGAACCGUGAGGCUUAACCUUACA